GAUGAACGCUGGCGGCGUGCCUAAUACAUGCAAGUCGAGCGAACAGAUGAGGAGCUUGCUCCUCUGACGUUAGCGGCGGACGGGUGAGUAACACGUGGAUAACCUACCUAUAAGACUGGGAUAACUUCGGGAAACCGGAGCUAAUACCGGAUAAUAUAUUGAACCGCAUGGUUCAAUAGUGAAAGACGGUUUUGCUGUCACUUAUAGAUGGAUCCGCGCCGCAUUAGCUAGUUGGUAAGGUAACGGCUUACCAAGGCAACGAUGCGUAGCCGACCUGAGAGGGUGAUCGGCCACACUGGAACUGAGACACGGCCCUGACUCCUACGGGAGGCAGCAGUAGGGAAUCUUCCGCAAUGGGCGAAAGCCUGACGGAGCAACGCCGCGUGAGUGAUGAAGGUCUUCGGAUCGUAAAACUCUGUUAUUAGGGAAGAACAAAUGUGUAAGUAACUAUGCACGUCUUGACGGUACCUAAUCAGAAAGCCACGGCUAACUACGUG
rnacentral:rRNA from 1 species